rnacentral:tRNA from 1 species
GUCACAACUGGUCUCAUCAGUUGGUUAGAGCAUGGUGCUGAUAAUGGCAAGGUUGCAGGUUUGAUCCUUGUAUGGGACA